AUACGUAGGUGGCAAGCGUUGUCCGGAAUUAUUGGGCGUAAAGCGCAUGUAGGCGGUUUGGUAAGUCGGUCGUGAAAAUGCGGUGCUUAACGCCGUAUGGCGAUUGAAACUGCUGAACUUGAGUGCAGGAGAGGAAAGGGGAACUCCCAGUGUAGCGGUGAAAUGCGUAGAUAUUAGGAAGAACACCGGUGGCGAAGGCGCCUUUCUGGACUGUGUCUGACGCUCAGAUGCGAAAGCCAGGGUAGCGAACGGGAUUAGAUACCCCGGUAGUCCUGGCCGUAAACGAUGGGUACUAGGUGUGGGAGGUAUCGACUCCUUCCGUGCCGGAGUUAACGCAAUAAGUACCCCGCCUGGGGAGUACGGCCGCAAGGCUUAAACUCAAAGGAAUUGACGGGG
rnacentral:rRNA from 1 species